CAUCACUUUCUUUCUCUUAUCUUCUUACCAGAUCCGGUUUUCUUCUUCUCUUACCUUCUUGUCUUCUCCGCCGAAGAAGUUUGCCGCUGCGGUUCUCAAAACUCCAUCACUUUCUUUCUCUUAUCUUCUUACCAGAUCUGGUUUUCUUCUUCUCUUACCUUCUUGUCUUCUCCGCCGAAGAUGUUUGCUGAGAGGAUCUGAAGGACUCAAUCGAUGGCAGUUCAUGGGGGAGGAAAGAAUGUUUUGAAAGGCCUUUAUAAUGGACUGGAUGGGAAGUUUACUAUGUCAUAUUCUGGUCUUAUUGGUUGUAAGACUGACGAUGGGACAUCACACUGUUAAACCUGCUUCCUGCUUUUGUUUUCGUCUAGCAUUAUUAGCGAGAAAGCUGCACUGUCAUGGUCUCAUGGUCAUGCUCGAGUGGAGCUUGGAUCCUUGAAAGGUCAUCAUCCUUUACUGGAAGAUGUAAAGAAGAAGGCAAUUGGACUUGGACGUGUUGUUUAAUCCUUUUACUGGAAAUGGAGGGAGUAGAGAUCCAAGCUGAGUAGAGAUCCAAGCUGGCCAACCAGGUUCUGAUAUUGUGCUACAAGGACGACAUAAUGCUUUUUCCCAAGUGCGAGGAAGAGAUAAAGGGAAUCGUGUUUGCUGUCUAGGCAAUGGUAUAAAGCCAAAGAAAUAUUGGAGUGAAGAAUCAUCCACCAAUCCUACCACUGACCCAAAUGCUGAAGUUUUGAACCUUAGACAACGACUGGAGAAUUCUGUUGCAGAACAUCAAGCAGCAGUGCGACAGAUAUCUGAUUUGGAGGCACUUCGUGCGCAUGAUGAACUGGGAACUGCCAACACAGCUUAUCAGGCUGCCUUGAUUAGGAUUGCAGAAUUGGAGGCAGAACUAAGGAAAUACAAGACUGUUACCCCGUCGACUGAUGCAGAGAUCAGGAAUAGUCCACGAAUGGAAGAUCUUGGUGCACAUAGAUAUUAACCCUGGCAAUUCAGGUGCUUGUUUUUUUGGAUAUAAGGGAAUGGGAUGGUCCUUUUUUUUUUUCAUGCCAUCAGGUGUGUUCUUAUCAUGUCCCAAAUUUUCCACAGGCAUUUUGGAUGUUGAUAAUCUUACCAGCUUUUUGAACUCUCUGGGUCUUGUUCUGUUGCCCAGAUUUAUGUUUUUUAAACAGUUAAACAUCUUACUGUCAGAUAUGUAAGUUUAUAUGGUGCAUCAAUGUAGAACUUUAUUAUGAAUGGUAUAAGUUUUUGGCUCAGUGUGAA